UACAGAGGUCCCGAGCGUUGUUCGGAUUCACUGGGCGUAAAGGGUGCGUAGGUGGCCUGAAAAGUUUGAUGUGAAAGCUCAGGGCUUAACCCUGAAAUGGCAUUGAAUACUGUCGGGCUGGAGGUUUGGAGGGGGGACUGGAAUUCUUGGUGUAGCAGUGAAAUGCGCAGAUAUCAGGAGGAACACCGGUGGCGAAGGCGGGUCUCUGGGCCGAUACUGACGCUGAGGAGCGAAAGCGUGGGGAGCGAACAGG
rnacentral:rRNA from 1 species